rnacentral:rRNA from 1 species
UACAGAGGUCUCAAGCGUUGUUCGGAUUCAUUGGGCGUAAAGGGUGCGUAGGCGGCGCGGUAAGUCGGAUGUGAAAUCUCGGAGCUUAACUUCGAAACUGCAUUCGAUACUGCCGUGCUUGAGGACUGGAGAGGAGACUGGAAUUUACGGUGUAGCGGUGAAAUGCGUAGAUAUCGUAAGGAAGACCGGUGGCGAAGGCGGGUCUCUGGACAGUUCCUGACGCUGAGGCACGGAAGGUCAGGGGGAGCAAAACGGGG